GUUACUCUGAGUGCAUAUCCACACCGGGCGAGCUUGAAAAAUAUGCCCGGCCACGGUGGGAUUCGAACCUACGACCUUUGGAAUACUAGCCCAAUGCUCUUCCAACUGAGCUACGCGGUCAGGACGGUUCGAGUAAGUGAUAUUUCGGAACAGUAUCUAGUUCCUUCAAUACCAAUAUGUUCUAGUAAUAUGAAUUUUUUUUUCUCUGUGUUGGUGUUGUGUACUCAGGUGAAUAAUAUGUUUGCGAUGUUACUUUGAGUGCAUAUCCACACCGGGCGAGCUUGAAAAAUAUGCCCGGCCACGGUGGGAUUCGAACCUACGACCUUUGGAAUACUAGCCCAAUGCUCUUCCAACUGAGCUACGCGGUCAGGACGGUUCGAGUAAGUGAUAUUUCGGAACAGUAUCUAGUUCCUUCAAUACCAAUAUGUUCUUGUAAUAUGAAUUUUUUCUGUGCUGGUGUUGUGUACUCAGGUGAAUAAUAUGUUUGUGAUGUUACUCUGAGUGCAUAUCCACACCGGGCGAGCUUGAAAAAUAUGCCCGGCCACGGUGGGAUUCGAACCUACGACCUUUGGAAUGCCAGCCCAAUGCUCUUCCAACUGAGCUACGCGGUCAGGACGGUUCGAGUAAGUGAUAUUUCGGAACAGUAUCUAGUUCCUUCAAUACCAAUGUGUUCUUGUAAUAUGAAUUUUUUCUGUGCUGGUGUUGUGUGCUCAGGUGAAUAAUAUGUUUGUGAUGUUACUCUGAGUGCAUAUCCACACCGGGCGAGCUUGAAAAAUAUGCCCGGCCACGGUGGGAUUCGAACCUACGACCUUUGGAAUACUAGCCCAAUGCUCUUCCAACUGAGCUGCGCGGUCAGGACGGUUCGAGUAAGUGAUAUUUCGGAACAGUAUCUAGUUCCUUCAAUACCAAUGUGUUCUUGUAAUAUGAAUUUUUUUUCUGUGCUGGUGUUGUGUACUCAGGUGAAUAAUAUGUUUGUGAUGUUACUCUGAGUGCAUAUCCACACCGGGCGAGCUUGAAAAAUCAAGCUCGCCCGGUGUGGAUAUGCACUCAGAGUAACAUCACAAACAUAUUAUUCACCUGAGUACACAACACCAGCACAGAAAAAAAAUUCAUAUUACAAGAACACAUUGGUAUUGAAGGAACUAGAUACUGUUCCGAAAUAUCACUUACUCGAACCGUCCUGACCGCGUAGCUCAGUUGGAAGAGCAUUAGGCUAGUAUUCCAAAGGUCGUAGGUUCGAAUCCCACCGUGGCCGGGCAUAUUUUUCAAGCUCGCCCGGUGUGGAUAUGCACUCAGAGUAACAUCGCAAACAUAUUAUUCACCUGAGUACA